ACCCCCAUACCCUAGAGACCCCCUUCACUCUUCACCUCCCCGUCUCUAACCUCCUAACCCCAGCCGCCCUAAGCUCCUCUCAAACCAAACAACCUGAACCCUAGACGCCGCCUACCGGAGAUCAUUUCAUGGCGGCGGCCGGUCUCCAAAUCACUCCAAAAUCACACCAAACACUCCUCACUUCCUCUUCUUUCCAGAUCCCCAAAUCAAUCCCCCCGAAUCCCUCUCAAAUUUCGCCAAUUUCAAAUCUGGGGACAUGCAAACCCUAAAUAUGAGCUUUUAAGACGAUUUGAGCAGGAAAUUGGUGUUAAUCGUCUGUUCUCAAUAGGAACUGUUAUUUAACACCUAUUUUUGAUUUAAAUCGGAAAAUGACGGGUCCCGCCGGAGCCACUAUCAUUCGUGCAGUAGGUAUCUAUUCUUCUUUUUUUUUUUUUUUCAUUAUCUUUCUCUUUUUCUUUAUCUUCUUCUCUUUUUCAUUACUCCGUUUUCUUCUAGUUUUCUUUUCUUUGACCAAAAUAAAAGAGAUUCAGGAAGCUAUAAUCUAUGGGUCAUUAGGGUUUUUCUCGCGCUUAGUUAGGGCUCAUCAAUUUAUGCAUUUUCAUUAGAAUCAUCAGUUGGUCAAAUUUUUCGGCUAGGGUUUUUUAAUUUGUUUUAGUUCGUGUUUAAUUAAUUUAACUACUGUAGUCCAUUGUUAGUUUUAGGCAUCUUUGCUGUCUUGAUGUUCAUAAUUGCUUAAUUAAUUAGCGUUUAAAAUAGGUUGGUUUAAUGUUUGCUUAAUUAGCCUAUGUUUAAUUCUAUUUCAUGUUUAUCUGGCAUUGAUUGUCUGCGUAUGCUCAUUAUCAAAAUGUCAGUCCAAAGAGCAUUGAGAGUUCAUUAUGAAUCUUGAGGUUUAGGUUUAUUUAUUUUAAAGAUAUGAGAUGUUCAACGUUUAGUUUUAUUGGUCUUUCUGUUUGAUCUCAUUUGUUGAUAUCUGUUCGCUUAUUUCUAUUUGACAUAAAUCCUGUAGAAAAUUAUAGGGUCGUAAUUGAACAAAUGGAAACUUAUGGGUUAAUUUUGGACACAGAAAUAGGAUUUUCAGAUAAGGCUUGGUAUAAGAAGUUUCUAGAACCUGGGGGAGUUGUCCCCAUUUGGUUAACACAAAAAUGCUGAGCCAAUAAGGGAUAUCCAGCUGUCCAGGUGGUUAAAAAUGUCUUUUCAGGCUGAGAGAAUAUUUUCUUAAUUGGUUUAGAGCACAUGACCUUAGAGGUCUAUAAAAGGGUGCCCUUCCUUCACUCAGAAACCAGAUUUAAAGCAUCAUUCUCUGCACUAAAAGUUCUUCAUUGUUAGCUAAAAACUUUUCUGAUUUUCACAAGAAAACUAGAAAAAAUUCUUUGAAAUUUUCAAACUCCAAAAGGGCUGAAGCAUGAUUUAAAUUCUGGAAGCUGUGGUUGAUGUUAUUGUGUUGUUUUUCUCACAUUGUGGCUGAAAUUCUCAUGUUUUGUUUUGCUUUGGUGUCCAAGUACCUUUUGGACUUUAAAUGACUUGUGAAUUGCAAGUCUGAAAUAUGUAAUCAAAUGUGAAGAUUGAAUGAUAUAUUGCUGCCAGAUGAAAUUUGUUCACAUGUUUUAUUUUAAGUUCAUUUAGUCCUUGUAGUACUGUUAGUUUUCCUUUAUGUGUUUUCCAUUUGUUCAUGUCACUGAUUUUGUAUCUCGACUUCAAGUGUAGUUUGGAGUCCUCUACUGUGUUGAUUUGUGACUUAAAUUUGUUGGGUUUGCUUAGAUCUAUUUAGGUCAGUGUUGAUUCUCAGUCUAUGACUAGUCCAUAAUAUGCUUUCGUUGGUUUCAGAAGUGAACUUUCAGUUUCUUUACAUGUGUUUCCCCUUGAGCUACCCAACUCUUUAUUAACUUCUGGUUUCUCUCAGCUGUACUAAGACAAAGCAGUAGUCUAGUAGGGAUUUUUAUAUGUUAAGGUAAGGAUUAGUCCACUGAUUCCUUUAAGUUUAAAAAGUUGAUUUAGCCUUCGUGUAUGUUGAUUUUGGCUGCUGAAUCUGCAUAGUUUAAUCAUUUAAUUUCAGCAUUGCUAGAGUACUCUGUUGAUAUGAGAAUUAGUAGGUUUAAUGAGUAGUUUUAAAUCCAUGUUCAUUUUACCACUGAUUGUAGUAUGUUGUCAAAUUUAAUUCACAAUCUGGUUGUUCAUGUCUGGUGUUCUCGUAUCAUGUUUCUGUAGUUCUUAAGGGCAAUUGGGCCCAGUUUGGGCCUGUAUGAGGCCGCCAGUUUAGGAAUGGGUUUAGCUUUUGCUUUUUGUUAUUUUCUCUCUUUGGGCUCAAUUCUGAGCCCUAUCCG
rnacentral:lncRNA from 1 species